UGCAAGUCGAGGGGCAACAGAGAAGCUUGCUUCUGCUGACGACCGGCGCACGGGUGCGUAACGCGUAUGCAACCUACCUCAUACAGGAGAAUAGCCCUUGGAAACGAGGAUUAAUACUCCAUAGUAUCAUUCUUUCGCAUGUUAGAAUGAUUAAAGAAUUUCGGUAUGAGAUGGGCAUGCGUCCCAUUAGCUUGUUGGUGAGGUAACGGCUCACCAAGGCAACGAUGGGUAGGGGGCCUGAGAGGGUGGUCCCCCACACUGGUACUGAGACACGGACCAGACUCCUACGGGAGGCAGCAGUGAGGAAUAUUGGUCAAUGGAGGAAACUCUGAACCAGCCAUGCCGCGUGAAGGAUGACGGCCCUAUGGGUUGUAAACUUCUUUUAUAUGGGAAGAAACUUAUCUACGUGUAGAUAACUGACGGUACCAUACGAAUAAGGAUCGGCUAACUCCGUGCCAGCAGCCGCGGUAAUACGGAGGAUCCAAGCGUUAUCCGGAUUCAUUGGGUUUAAAGGGUCCGUAGGCGGAUUUUUAAGUCAGUGGUGAAAGCCGACAGCUCAACUGUCGAACUGCCAUUGAUACUGGAAAUCUUGAGUACAAAUGAAGUAGGCGGAAUGAGUCAUGUAGCGGUGAAAUGCAUAGAUAUGACUCAGAACACCGAUUGCGAAGGCAGCUUACUAACAUGUAACUGACGCUGAGGGACGAAAGCGUGGGGAGCGAACAGGAUUAGAUACCCUGGUAGUCCACGCCGUAAACGAUCAUCACUCGCUGUUGGCGAUAUACUGUCAGCGGCCAAGCGAAAGUAUUAAGUGAUGCACCUGGGGAGUACGCCGGCACGGUGAAACUCAAAGGAU
rnacentral:rRNA from 1 species